rnacentral:rRNA from 1 species
CACGAUUGCUUGCAAUUGGUGGCGACCGGCGCACGGGUGCGUAACGCGUAUGCAACUUACCCUUUACAGGGGGAUAGCCCGGGGAAACCCAGAUUAAUAUCCCAUAGUAUAAUAAUAUCGCAUGGUAUAAUUAUUAAAGAUUUAUCGGUAAAGGAUGGGCAUGCGUAAGAUUAGCUAGUUGGUAAGGUAAUGGCUUACCAAGGCUACGAUCUUUAGGGGGCCUGAGAGGGUGAACCCCCACACUGGUACUGAGACACGGACCAGACUCCUACGGGAGGCAGCAGUGAGGAAUAUUGCGCAAUGGAGGAAACUCUGACGCAGCCAUGCCGCGUGAAGGAAGACGGCCUUACGGGUUGUAAACUUCUUUUAUACGAGAAUAAACCCCCCUACGUGUAGGGGGCUGAAGGUAUCGUACGAAUAAGGACCGGCUAACUCCGUGCCAGCAGCCGCGGUAAUACGGAGGGUCCAAGCGUUAUCCGGAUUCAUUGGGUUUAAAGGGUGCGUAGGCGGCUUGAUAAGUCAGUAG